GAUGAACGCUGGCGGCGUGCCUAAUACAUGCAAGUCGAGCGAACAGACGAGGAGCUUGCUCCUCUGACGUUAGCGGCGGACGGGUGAGUAACACGUGGAUAACCUACCUAUAAGACUGGGAUAACUUCGGGAAACCGGAGCUAAUACCGGAUAAUAUAUUGAACCGCAUGGUUCAAUAGUGAAAGACGGUUUUGCUGUCACUUAUAGAUGGAUCCGCGCCGCAUUAGCUAGUUGGUAAGGUAAAGGCUUACCAAGGCAACGAUGCGUAGCCGACCUGAGAGGGUGAUCGCCCACACUGGAACUGAGACACGGUCCAGACUCCUGCGGGAGGCAGCAGUAGGGAAUCUUCCGCAAUGGGCGAAAGCUUGACGGAGCAACGCCGCGUGAGUGAUGAAGGUCUUCGGAUCGUAAAACUCUGUUAUUAGGGAAGAACAAAUGUGUAAGUAACUAUGCACGUCUUGACGGUACCUAAUCAGAAAGCCACGGCUAACUACGUG
rnacentral:rRNA from 1 species